rnacentral:rRNA from 1 species
GUCGAGCGGAGAAAGCUGUCGAUUCCGGCGGAGGGUGAGUAAUGCCAGAAUCUGCCGGGGGGACAACAAGCUCCACUCGGAAAAGCAGGGACCUUCGGCCUUGCGCUAUCAAUGACGUCGAUUGGGGGGUAAUGGUCCAGGACGAUCCCGGAAGGAUGAGACUGAACCGCCAACGGGAGGCAGCAGUGGGGAAUAUUGGACAAUGGGCGAAAGCCUGAUCCAGCCAUGCCGCGUGUGUGAAGAAGGUCUUCGGAUUGUAAAGCACUUUAAGUUGGGAGGAAGGGCAGUAAGCGAAUACCUUGCUGUUUUGACGUUACCGACAGAAUAAGCACCGGCUAACUCUGUGCCAGCAGCCGCGGUAAUACAGAGGGUGCAAGCGUUAAUCGGAAUUACUGGGCGUAAAGCGCGCGUAGGUGGUUUGUUAAGUUGAAUGUGAAAGCCCCGGGCUCAACCUGGGAACUGCAUCCAAAACUGGCAAGCUAGAGUACGGUAGAGGGUGGUGGAAUUUCCUGUGUAGCGGUGAAAUGCGUAGAUAUAGGAAGGAACACCAGUGGCGAAGCGACCACCUGGACUGAUACUGACACUGAGGUGCGAAAGCGUGGGGAGCAAACAGGAUUAGAUACCCUGGUAGUCCACGCCGUAAACGAUGUCAACUAGCCUUGGAAUCCUUGAGAUUUUAGUGGCGCACUACGCAUUAAGUUGACCGCCGGGGAGUACGGCCGCAAGGUAACUCAAUGAAUUGACGGGGCCCGCACAAGCGGUGGACAUGUGGUUUAAUUCGAAGCAACGCGAAAACUUACCGGCUGACUGCAAGACUUUCCAAGGAUUGGUGCCUUCGGACUCUGACCCUGCAUGGUGUCGUCGCUCGCGAGUCCCACAGCGCACCUUCCCUAGUGGUCUGGGGUCUG